CCUCCAUGAUCCGCGGGGAGAGCAGGUGGACGUGGGUGUCGAUCGCGCCGGCGGUGGCGAUCAGGCCCUCGCCCGGGAUCAUGGUGGUGCCGGUGCCGACGACGACGUUCACGCCGUCGAGGGUGUCGGGGUUGCCGGCCCGCCCUAUGGCGUGGAUCCGGCCCUCGCGGAUGCCGAUCGACACCUUGCGGAUGCCCUGCACGGCGUCGAUGACGAGGACGUUGGUGAUCACGACGUCACAGGUGUCACGGACGGCCGCGGCCUUCAGGUGCAUGCCGUCACGGG
rnacentral:sRNA from 1 species